CACCAGGGACCUUCCCAGAAACUGACAAGUCCCUUAUGUGCUCUUCCUAUAAACCUUGCACCCGACAUAUUCGGAAUCUGAGUAUCCGAUUAAGUCAAAGGUAGACCCCUUUGGAUACCAGAUCCCGAAGCAAGGCGUAGAAACCAAAUAUCUAAGAAUUCACUUAAUGGCCACAAGGUGACAUUCCUUGGGGUCAUAUUGAAAUCUAGCAUACAUGCAUACACUUAGCAUAAUAUCUGGUCUACUAGCACAAAGAUAAAGCAAAGAUUCUAUCAUAGACCGGCAUGCCUUUUGAUCAACGGACUUACCUCCUUUGUUGAGGUCUAGAUGUUUGUUCUUUCCCAUCAGUGUCUUUGCGGGCUUUGCAUCCUUCAUCCCAAACCUCUUGAGCAGAUCUUGAGUAUACUUUGUUUAGGAGAUGAAGGUCCCUUCCUUGAGUUUCUUCACUUGGAAUCCAAGAAAGUAGUUCAACUCGCGCAUAAUAGACAUCUCGAAUUUUUGCAUCAUCACCCUGCUAAACUCCUCACAAGACUUUUGAUUAGUAGAACCAAAUAUUAUGCCAUUGACAUAUAUUUGGCAUACAAAAAGAUCACCAUUACAAGUCUUAGUAAAGAGAGUAGGAUCAGCUUUCCCAACCUUGAAAGCAAUAGAAAUAAAAAAAUCUCUAAGGCAUUCAUACUAUGCUCUUGGGGCUUGCUUAAGUCCAUAGAGCGCCUUAGAGAGUUUGUAGACAUGGUCGGGAUACCUGUCAUCCUCAAAGCCAGGGGGUUGUUCCACAUACACUUGCUCCUUGAUUGGUCCAUUAAGGAAGGCGCUCUUCACGUCCAUUUGAAACAACUUAAAAGAAUGGUGAGCAGCAUAGGCCAAUAUUAUGUGAAUUGUUUCAAGCCUAGCUACUGGAGCAAAAGUCUCCUCAAAGUCCAAACGUGCGACUUGGGCAUAACCUUUUGCCACAAGUCGAGCCUUGUUUCUUGUCACCACACCGUGUUCAUCUUGCUUGUUGCAAAACACCCACUUGGUUCCCACAACAUUUUGCUUCGGACGUGACACCAGGCUCCAAACUUCAUUUCUUUUGAAGUUGUUGAGCUCUUCCUGCAUGGCCAACACCCAGUCCGGAUCCUGCAAGGGUUCUUCUACCCUGAAAGGCUCAAUAGAAGAAACAAACGAGUAAUGCUCACAAAAAUUAGCUAAACGUGAGAGAGUGGUUACUCCCUUGCUGAUAUCGCCCAUAAUCUAAUCCACUGGAUGAUCUCUUUAAAUUAUUGCCUAGACUUGAGUUGGAGGAGCUUGUGGUGCUUCUUCCUCCUUAUCUUGUUCUUUAUGUGCUCCACCUUGAUCCAGCCCUUCAUCUUGAGGUACCUAUUCCUCAUUUUGAGUUGAGGGAUGCACCAAUGUGGAGGAAGAAGGUUGAUCUUGCUCUUGUUGUUCAUGCGGUCACACAUCACCUAUCGCCAUUGUUCGCAUCAUGGCCGUCAGAACCUCAUCCUCGUCUACAUCAUCAAGAUCAACUUGCUCUCUUGGAGAGCCAUUAGUCUCAUCAAAUACAACGUCGCUAGAGACUUCAACUAAUCUUGAUGAUUUGUUGAAGACCCUAUACGCCUUUGUAUUUCAGUCAUAACCAAGUAGAAACUCUUCUACAACUUUGGGGGCAAACUUCGAAUGUCUACCUUUCUUUACCAAGAUGUAGCAUUUGCUCCCAAAUACACGAAAAUAAGAAACAUUGGGUUUGUUACUGGUUAGGAGUUCAUAUGAUGUCUUCUUGAGGAGGCGAUGCAGAUAGAGCCGGUUUAUGGCAUGGCAAGUUGUAUUCACAACUUCUGACCAAAACCGCUCAGGCGUCUUGUAAUCUCCAAACAUUGUCCUCGCCAUAUCAAUUAGCGUCAUGUUCUUCCUCUCUACUACACCAUUUUGCUAUGGUGUGUAGGGAGCGGAGAACUCGUGCUUGAUGCCUUCCUCCUCAAGAUACUCUUUGACUUGAAGGUUCUUGAACUUAGAUCCGGUGUUGCUUCUUAUCUUUUUCACCUUUCACAUCAAACUCAUUUUGAGCUCUCCUUAAGAAGCGCUUUAGAGUUCCUUGGGUUUCAGAUUUAUCCUGCAAAAAGAACACCUAAGUGAAGCGGGAAAAAUCAUCAACAAUUACAAGACCAUACUUACUUCCCUCGAUGCUAAGAUAAGCAACGGGCUCAAAGAGAUCCAUAUGUAGAAGUUCCAAUGGUCUUGAUGUCGUCAUUACGUUCUUGCCUUGAUGAGUACUUCCCACCUGCUUCCCUGCCUGGCACGCUGCACAAGGUCUGUCUUUCUCAAAACAUACAUCGAUUAGUCCUAAGUAGAGCUUGUCGUCUAAUACACCCUUAAAAGCUAAUGAACCAUCACUUCUUCUAAAGACAGAUACGUCAAUAUUUGUAAAUAAGCAAUUAUAACCCAUAUGACAUAAUUGGCUUACAUACAACAAAUUGUACCCGAGCGAUUCUACUAGAAACACUUUUGAAAUUGAAUGCUCGGUUGUGAUGGCUAUUUUGCCUAAGCCCUUGACCUUGCCUUGGUUCCCAUCUCCAAAGAUGAUAGUGUCUUGGGAAUCCUUGUUCUUGACGUAGGAGGUGAACAAUUUCUUCUCCCCUGUCAUGUGGUUUGUGCAUCCGCUAUCAAUGAUCCAGCUUGAGCCCCCGGAUGCAUAAACCUGCAAGGUAAUUAAGCUUGGGUUUUAGGUAUCGAACUCUUGUUGGGUCCUACAAGGUUAGUCACAACAGUCUUUGGAACCCAGAUGCAAGUUUUGUCUCUCUUGCACUUAGGUCCCAAACUUCUAGCAACUACUUUAUCAUUCUUGCAUAAGAGAACAAAUGGAACAUCACAUGUUUGAUAAAUCAUAGUUGGUCCACUUGAUGCCUUCCUAGGCGCAUUAGAAACAUUAUGAUGGCACCUAGAUCUAUUCCUAUCAUGAGCAUAUGAAGAACUAGAUGCAAACAUGGCAUGGGAAUUAUAAGUAGCACUAUGACAUACAGGUGAAACAACAUGAUUAUGACUCCUAUCAUGAUGAGCAACACUAGUAACUUUUUUUUAUCAUGAGCAUAAAUAUAGGCAUUGUUCUUUUGAGAGCUACUAGCCAUAGGAGCCUUCCCUUUCUCCUUGUUGAGAUUGGAAGUCCUUUGGCUUGUUGAGUUCUUAGUUCCUUUUUGGAAACCUAGUCCAUCCUUAAUAGAGGGGUGUCUACCAAUGGUGUAGGCAUCCCUAGCAAAUUUUAACCGCAGCAUCCUUGGGGAUUCCCAAGAGCAGCGAGUUCGUGGCCGCGCCAGCCUGGGCACCGGACAGUGUCCGGUGCACCCGCAGGCUGGUGCAAGUCUGGUUGUUCUAGCUUAACUCCUUUUGCUCUCUUUGGACUUGACUUAAUUGAGUUCCUGGCACUUAGACAAGCAUUUUUAGCACAUAAAACAAUUGAUUAAGUGUCUAGAACUUACCUUCGUAGUUGAUCCAUCUAGAUAUACCUUUGCUCAACAUUUUAUUAGUUCUCACCUAGUGUGUUGUGCAUCUAAUCACCAAAACAAUAUAGAAAUGGCCCAAGGAUACAUUUCCCUUUAAAUUAGUAGCACGUGUAGUAGGUCGAAGAGAUGCUAGGUCACAUUUCCUUUACUGGAUGAUCUUCUAAUGCUAGUCCACCUUAAAGUGCACCAGACACUUAGCCUCGACCCACUUGAUCAGUUGUCUUUUGUAGUCCUUGAAUUCAUGUUGUUCUUCAGCCGACAGGUUCUCAAGAGUUGAAUUCAUGAUGUUGUUGGGGGAGCCUUCGGUGUGAUCCUUAGAACCAGUCAUUUGGAGGCCGAUAUUUAGUAGAUAUGGACACCCUCGUCCCUAGCGGAGUCGUCAAAAAGUGUGUUGGCGCCUUUUUGGGCCAAACACUUAUGAUCCCUAGAUCUGGCUCGUAGGGAACAAGACCUUGGGGAACCACUCUGCUUGGCAGCAGACAGUCUGUGGUAGGUCACCGGAUCGUCUGCGGUUGGUCACCAAUGUGUAGAUAACUAGAGAUAAUCACCAUCGAGUAGAUAACUAGAGAUAGUAAUCAUGAAAGCGAUGAUCUCCUCCCUACGAUAGGUCCAAUUGCAAUAGGGGAUCCCCACCUCUAUGUUGGCACCAUUUCAGGGCCAACUACCAAGAAACCCUAGGGCCUUCAUCUGAUGUGCAGGACCUUGGGUUUAGCUUUGAGAGGUGCUAGGGGUCCAUGGUAGGGUGCCGGACCAUUUGCAGUAGGCCACUGGACGUCCGCGUGUAGGCGGCAGACUAUUCGCGAUGGUGCAGAAAUGUCCCAAGACGACGUAGAGUCACCUAGGGAUUAAGAAGAUGGAAGUGGUGGAGACUAAGAUGAAAUGGACCUUGCUCUACCGAGGGGAACCUCAUCAAGGUAAGAUCCUAGUGUUGUCUUGAGGUCGAUAGGCCACCUAAGGCGGUUCUAGACGACGUAGAGUCGAAUAGAGGCAAAGAUGAUGCCCUAGGAUCGACAGGCCUCCUAGGGCGUCCCCAUAUGAAUUCGAGCCAAAAAGGGUGAUGAUUGGGGGGACUACAACUAGGGCUACGCUACAUCUACUCUCCUAAGGCAUGAAUGAUAAAGAAAGUAAAUUGAUUGGUUCGAUUAGAAUGUGUUCGACGGUUCUCAAUCGGCCACCCCUUUAUAUUUAUAGGGGAGGACAUCUGGACCUGUUCCUAGGCGAGAUCCAACAGAAUCCCUGUAACAUCCCGUCCACUCCCGUAUUGGCGGUACUUACUCCUGGCAGCUUUCUAGGACCAUAGACCAUCCCCAUAGACCAAUACGAGUCUUUUGUGUGCACUUUGUCCUCACUCAUGCGCACCUAAGAAAACUUCUCGGUCGGUCACCCAUCCUAAAUUGCUUCAAACCAAGCACGCUUAACCUAGAGGUUCUUUCGAGAUAGGCUUCCAAAAAAGAAGAUACACCUUGUUAGUAUGAGUAAUCUAUUAAUUCUAUUAAGCCUUGGGCCAGGAUAUCACCAUCCACCAGGCCAGGAUAUCACAAUCCACCCCCAUAGAAGAUCGACGUCCUCGUCGAUCAACCCCAAGCCAAGUACCUCCCCUCUUGGCCACGUCUGCGUGUCUAGUGUAGUCAUAUGUCAUGUGACCACUCUGGGCCCACAUGCGCCAUGCACUAUAUACCCGAACCCCUAACCAACACUCGCCCGUGUAACCGCAAGGGUCGGCUCUGAUACCAAUUGUAACACACCGUGUCCAAUCCUAAACCAGUGGAUCUUACACCUGGCAACCAUCUAGGACCAUAGACCAACAUGAGCCUUUUGUGCGCACUUUGUCCUCACUCAUGCGCACCCGAGAAAACUUCCCGGUUGGUCACCCAUCCCAAAUUGCUCCAAGCCAAGCAUGCUUAACCUGGAGGUUCUUUUGAGAUAGGCUUCCAAAAAGAAGAUGCACCUUGUUAGUAUGAGUACUAUAUUAAUUCUAUUAAGCCUUGGGCAAGGAUAUCACCAUCCACCGGGCCAGGAUAUCACAUUACCUCGGAUAGGUUAGGAUAACCUCGCAUGAGAUAAGUACUCUCGCCCCUCUUAAUCUGGUCAUGGCAGCGCGAUCCGAGCCAUAGGUCCAGACCAUCUGGCCAUGCCCAGGUGCCAAAUAUGGUGCUUAACAGCUCCAUACUGUUAGGCCUGGUUCAAAAAAAUAAUUGAAAUUAGUUUCAUCCUUUUCUGGGAAAAUAUUUUUUUCAAGAUUGAACUAAAUUUGGGACCAAACUGCCAUAUUUUUAAGAACAAUAUUUGGGUAAAUUUUUGAAGACUAGUUCUUUAAGUUUUAAGUCUGUUUUAUCCCUUAAACUAAUAAUAGUCUGAAAACAUAUAGUUCCUAAUGGUUUUGGUGAUUAAUGACGACACAUGAUUUUUAUGACUAACGUGGGCUUUGCAGCGACAAUUUAACUUGGAUUACAAUAAUAGGGAUUGUUUAGACAAUCAAUGUUUUUAUGUCCCUAAGUGUGGAAAUCAUUUCGGUUUUUCAAAGGAUGGACGACUACAAUUAAGGUUAUACUAGUUCUUAGUGUCGAUUGGAUUCGAGAGACACUUAGAGUAGUUUUAGACUUUGUUUUUUCAUUGAUCGUAUUAUAAAGAGGGUAUAAACUAGUAGAUUGACCUAGAAAAGGCUAAAGGGUUAAGUGUGGUGCACAUUAGUUGUCUUUAGCUCUAGAUAGUUCAAAUGAGGUCCAUAAAUUGUUUGGAACAAGCCACAUUGCUAAAGUUUUUGAAAUUAAAAGUGUUUGGGAAGUUUUUGAUGCGCCUGAUCCUAAGAAACACGACAUCAAACCAAUGAAAAUGGUUUGACGCCUGCACGUGCAAUGCCAGUGAAGGCAUGAUCAUUGAAACCUAUGAGGAGAGUUGUCACACCAAUGAUAAAGAGUCUGAUAGUCUACGAAAAUAGAAUAGAUAGUUGUAGGUUACGUCGAACUAGUUUGAUAAGGGUCAUUGGACCAAACGAUGGAACUAUACUAGCUAGGGUUCUUCUAUAGGAACAUUAGACCCUAUAAACAGGGUGAUCAUUGGACUAGUAUGUCCCGAUCCAAUGCUCUUUAGAGGUUUUAUGAGUGUUGGAUUGGUCCAACAAAGGGCAUCGAACCUUACGCUCCAUGCAUUACAGUCUAGCAGCUAUGUCUGACACAGUGGGGUCACUAUAAGCAUUAUGUCUGAUUGAACCUUGACUAAUGGUCUGACGACUAUGGAGUUUGCCAAAAGUAACGGCAAUAGCUAGUUGGCCAGUUGGAGACUCUUUUCUCAUGAACAAUUAUUCCUACCACUAAGUUGUUGAUGUAGUUUGCAUUAGGAAAAAAUAUUAUUAUUAGAACUUGACACUACUAUAAAAGGGGCUUUGAACCCCUUACAUUACUCCCUAAUUAGAACAAGUACCAAAGAGAUUUAGGUGGUGUUUGGUUUGAAGGGACUAAUUUUUAGUUACUCCAUUUUAUUCCACUUUAGUUCCUAAAUUAUUAAAUACGGAAAAUAAAAUAAAUUUUUCGUUUUUGUAUUUGUCAAUUUAGAUACUAAAAUGGAAUAAAAUGAAGGUACUAAAAAUUAGUCCCAAGAAAUCAAACACCCCUUAGUACCAGAUAAUAAUAGAUGUGGUCUCAAAAACUCUUUUGUAAUUGGAACUAAAGAGUUGACUUUAGUAUGGAUUAGUGACAUCAACCAAUACUAAAUAAAGCAUCGAACCCUUACCGAUAACCAGUACUAAACCCUUUUCUAGAGUUAAAAUAGAAAAAAAUAUCUUCUUAUUAGUCACAAAUAGCUCUAUAGUUAAGGGGUGUUUGGUUUCUACGGGCUAAUCUUUAGUCCCUUCAUUUUAUUUUAUUUUAGUUCCUAAAUUAUUAAAUACGGAAACUAAAAUAGAGUCUUAGUUUCCGUAUUUAGCAAUUUAGUUACUAAAAUGGAAUAAAAUGUACGGACUAAAAAUUAGUCCCUAUAAACCAAAUAUCCCGUAAAUCCUAGCAUCGCACAUGCUUGUAUUUCAAAAAUCACGUGAAUUGUAACGUGAGUAUGUGUAGUAUCAAUUGGAGAAUAUUUUUGUACCAAGCAUGCAACUGGAAACCAAAAUAAGAGAACGAAAACUUUAGACCGGUUGAAAAUCGAAUACUAUAUACACUAUCGGAAUUCGGCUCAUUGUCGAGUGCCAAAUAAAAAAUCCUCGGUAAAAGAAAACACUCAGCAAAUAAGCUAUUUGCCGAGUGUUAUAUUUUUGACACUCGCAAAGAGUUGCUAAGCGUAAAAAAUAUAACACUCGGCAAAGAGCUUCUUGCCGAGUGCUUUUUUCAACAUUAGGUAAAGACAGUUUAAAAAUCAUAUUUUAAAGUAGUAAAUCAAUUUAAAUGAAAAAAUUUUCAACUACAAAUUUGUAUAACUCAUCAUGAUGUACAAUUUAUAUUUUGAACAUUUCUUCAUAUGACAAAAUAAGAGGAAAUUUGUUCAUAAAAUCUAUAUCUCUCGUAGUUUAUGAAACUACGAGAGAGAUGUAUUAGAUUUGUGCAUAUUGUUAGAACCAUCAUGUGAGAUGAACAAAUGACCAAACAAUCAAAAUAAACUUUGUAGAUAUUGAGAAGUAGUAGAAUUUUGUAGUUGACAACUUUUUCAUUUGAAGUCAUCUUGUCAUUAAAACUACGUCUGGAUUUAAAAAAUUUAAAAUUUGAAUUUUGAAAACGACCUCGAAAGACCACCAACAUGAAAGUUGUAGGUAUUGAAGAGUUAUGAAACUUUGUAGUUGACAAUGUUUUGGUUUGAAAUCAUCUUGUCAUGUAAAACUAUGUUUGAAUUUUAAAAUUUAAAUUUUUCAAACUACCUCGGAUGUAAAAAACCAUCAAAAUAAAAGUUGUAGGUCUUAAAAUGUAAUGAAACUUUGUAAUUGAUAUAUUUUUGAUUUGAAAUCAUCUUAUCAUUGAAAAAAUCAUGUGAAGUUUUCAAAUUUAAAAUUCAAAAUUUGUUAACGGCCUCAGAUGUAGAAACUAUCAAAAUAUAACUUGUAGAUCUUGAAAAGUUAUGCAACUUUAUAGUUAAUUGGUCACAUUUUCAAAUGAAUUUAUUUAGUGCCUAAAAUAAUCAAAUUACUCUCGGUUUGUUAUAGUACAUGAGGAAUGAAAAUGUAAUAUAGACAUAAUUGAUGUAGUAGUGUAGUGGUAGAGUAGGGUAUGCGCGAAAGAGAGGUUGCGAGUUCGAAUCUCAAUAUUCACAAAAUAUGUAAAUUUGAUUCAAAAUAAUAAUAAUAAUAAUGAAAAAUUAUAGGGUGAUGGGUAUGGUAAUGGGGUAGUGGUUGGAGAGUUGUUCCCAUAAUUUAAAAAUGUUUUGCUGUUUUUUUGGGUUUUUUUGCAAUUUUUAAUUUGCCGAGUGAUUUUCUUUGCCGAGUGCUUUUCGACACUCGGUCCGAGAAAAAGUACUCGACAAAGAACCCUUUGCCGAUAAAAUGUUUGACGAGUAUUCUUUGCCGAGAGACUUUGCCGAGUGUAAAAUGACCCUCGACAAAGAACACGGUUCCUAUAGUGAUAGCCCGUUUUCGCCUGGUAGUAAAGACAAUGAUGGUAAUGGAUCGUGAUCCAAAUGUUUCAUCACAAUUUGUUAGAAUUUUAAAUUAAUUUUAGUUUGAAAAUAAAUAGAAAUAGAGCUUAAUUCUAAUUCGAUCUGAUCCUUAAAUUAUAUAAUAUAAAAUUUAAAGCCAAUUGUCACUCAGUCUAAAUAAUAAAACCAUGAACCGGAAUCUUGAGCACUGUCAUGUGAUGUAAUCAAAAUAAAUGUAUUGUCAAACUUUAUCACUUAACCCUACCAAGGUUGCCAUGUGAAAAUCGCGAGCGAUACAAACACCCAUUUAACCGGAUAUUAAUGCAUUUCCCCCUUUCUUAUAAACAUAAAAAUAAUAAACACCGUAUAAUAUGAUGAGUCUUUUGAGUUUUUUACUCUUUCCAGAUAAAUAGAUAUGCUCACCACCAACUUGUUGAUGUAGUAUUGAUAUGGAAUAAAAGUUACUCCCUCUUUCCCAAAAUAAAAUUCAUUUUACAUUUUUAGUUCGCUUCAAAUAAAAGACGGCUGUUUAGUUUGCUGCAACUGUAAUUUAUAGAGACAAAAAAUAUAGAAACAUCAGAAACCGGUAUAGAUUAAAGCCAAGCAAACAGACUUAGAGAUUCAUACAAUAAUUAAUGUAUUUAUUUUACAUAUAUCUAGAUUUAUUCUCAUUCAUUUAAAUAUAGAUAUAAAAAUCAAGAGCUAAACGACUAAUAUUUUGAAACGGAGAGAGUAUUAUUUAUUAUUAGAGCCUAGAUAGCCGAUUGUCUAACAAAUCGAACCAUGAAUUAAAAUCUUAAGUAUUUUGUCAUCUAAUUUAAUCAAAACAAAUAUUAAGUUCAAUGCAGACACUAGUACAACCGUUGACGAAGGUUGCCAUGAAAAUCAAAAUAUAUCCAACUGCGGCUAACUCCUCGCCGUUUAAUCAGAUGUUAGAAUCAUACCUCCCUCUCUUCGUCCUAAAAUAAAGUUUAUUUUAACUCUUUAGUUAAUUCAUAUACAAUACUUGGUAUAUGUGUUCUAUAUAUGUGUUUAUAUUUAUCAUCAUCUAGUUAAAUAUAAACAUAAAAAUUAAGAGCUAAAAUGAAUACUAUUUUGGGAUAAAGAGAGUAUGCUUUUAUGGGUACUCUCUAUAUUUUUUAAUUGAUAUAAAUAAUGUUUUUAUUAAAAAAUACCUUCAAAAAGCUUAUUUAAAUAGUUAUUAAAAUAUAGUUAUCUUCUAUUUCGAUAUUCUCGCUAGUCAAAUAUAGAAAAAUAAAUGGCUCUAUAGAGUACAACUAAGAUAUAGAAAAACUAUUGGAGAUUGGAAAGAUAUAUAAAGUAGUUUUUAUGUAAAUUGAAAGACUCUUGGAGAUGCUCUCUAUUGUAUCUAACUCUAUCUACAAAUAAAUAGUAUGAAAAUCAAGGCUAUAAUAUAUAUAAGUAAAUAUUAAUGAAUUUAACAACAAAAGGUUUCAAAAUUAUAUUUUAAUUUAGUUUACACUCAACAGGACACUGGAAUUUUUCUUUCUACCAGCCAUAAUAACUGCACAGACCCCACAGGCCAGUGGGUCACUAACCGUUCGAAAAACAUGGCGCGCGCGCAAUGGCCGGGCAGCCAUCGGUUUCGUCUCCACCUCAUGUUUCCACGAGAGUUCCUCCCAUCCUCUCAAGUUUACCAGCACGACGCUUAUAAAACUUCUUCCCAAUCUCCCUUUGCAACUCACCCCACAAAGCAAGAAACAAUCCUUGCACCCCUCCCCUGCGUCACCCCACCAUAUCCGGCCAGCCCAACGAAAAUGUCGCGCGCCACAGCUGCGGUCCUCUUCUACAUCCUCGCCGUCGCUGCCCUCAGCGCGGCCGAGGCACCGGCAGAGUCACCGAAGGCAGGCAGUCCUGCCAAGGCACCGGCCGAGUCACCGAAGGCAGGCAGUCCUGCAGCUCCUGCCAAGGCACCCGAGUCUGCUGCCACGAGAACUGCCCCCGCUAAGGCACCUCAAGCCGCCUCCACCCCCGCCGCUGCCGCUGCCCCAUCGUCGUCGUCGUCUAGGAAGUCUGGUCCAGCUGCCGCGCCGACCACCGCCGCCUCUACACCGUCUUCUUCCACGGACGAGGAGUUGAGCCCUUCGCCGUCGGCAUCCACCGCCGAGGUGGCGUCCCCUGCCGCUGAUGGGCCUGCUGAGGGACCGGCGGCUGCUGAUGCCUCCGGUGCUGCUACCCUUGGAAGCGGAGCUGCCAUCGCUGGUGUCGCCGCUGCUGUCGCUACCAUGAUCUUCUACUGAGUUCACCAGGGACCGUGUCGUCGAGGGUGGGCACGUAGUUGGCUGUGCGGUAAUUGCUCGUCUGGUCGGGAGGGACCAAUAACGCAAGUGUUGCUUUGCUUUGCUCACUUCGUUUGCUCUUGUAACUUUAUGGGGUCAACCGUUAUAUAACUGAAACGAUUUGAUUAAUUGAUACUAAUGCUCUCUAUCUGUCAUGUAUAUAUUCUGGCGUACGGCUUGUUCUCUUAUUGGUCUUUCAUAUUUGUUUACCUCAAACUCUACAUCAUAAACAAAUUAAAGUGGGUUCACACAUUUAUGUGUAUGGAAACAACCUGUAUAAUGCCCUAGCUAGAUUGGGAAAUUCUCAAAACUAGC
rnacentral:lncRNA from 1 species